CUAGGCGAAAUCUGACGGAGCACGCCGCGUGAGUGUGAAGGUUUCGGAUCGUAAAGCUCUGUUGUUAGGGAAGAACAAGUGCCGUUCAAAUAGGGCGGCACCUUGACGGUACCUAACCAGAAAGCCACGGCUAACUACGUGCCAGCAGCCGCGGU
rnacentral:rRNA from 1 species